rnacentral:lncRNA from 1 species
GAGGGGACUGGAAUGCAGCGUUCUGAUAAGAAUCAACUCCUUCUUCCGCCCGCACUAAGGUACGAUUGAGAAUUGACUUCCUCCGCGCAAAGUCCUGAAACAGAAUUAUGAGCUAGGUAUUAUAGAAUUGGGUAACCAAGGAGAGGAAGGAGAUCGGUAUACAGUUGUCCUUAGCCCAAGGUGCUCUUAACCAACCCCGUA